CGCGUAGGCGGAUCUUUAAGUCGGGGGUGAAAGCCCAGGGCUCAACCCUGGAAUUGCCUUCGAUACUGAAGAUCUCGAGACCGGAAGAGGUAAGUGGAACUGCGAGUGUAGAGGUGAAAUUCGUAGAUAUUCGCAAGAACACCAGUGGCGAAGGCGGCUUACUGGUCCGGUUCUGACGCUGAGGCGCGAAAGCGUGGGGAGCAAACAGGAUUAGAUACCCUGGUAGUCCACGCCGUAAACGAUGGAUGCUAGCCGUUGGCGAGCUUGCUCGUCAGUGGCGCAGCUAACGCUUUAAGCAUCCCGCCUGGGGAGUACGGUCGCAAGAUUAAA
rnacentral:rRNA from 1 species